UCACCUGCAGGCAGAAUAACCGCUUCUGAUUGAAUGUGAGAGCCGUCAAUCCAACACAGACCGGGAACGGCUCGAGCAACAUGUAGAGACUUUCAGGCAAGUGAAUGAACGGUAAACGGCUCGUGUCAUUCUCUCUCAACAACAUUUGGUGAUCUUGACUGCUUCGCGUCUACUGUUAAAAAAGAAAUGGAAACUUUACUCGAUUCACAAAGAUUGGCCGAAGAAGUUGAAAGCACUCUAAUUAACUAUUACUGCAGUGGAGACAGUGAAUGGAGAGUUGGAAAGAAAACAAAAGACGUAAUUGUUUGGAGGAAACCUUCAGAAGAAUUUGGAGGAUAUUUGUAAGUAUUUUUAAAAGUAUUGUCAGGAAAAAUGUUAAAAAAUAUAAAAUGUAAAGAGAGAGCAAAAAGAGAUUUAGAAAAUAUAUUAAAUGAGUUUGGCAGGCCAAAUAAAGAGAAAUAGCAAGUAUGAGGGAGACUUUCAUUAACAUAGUACCUUUCACAAGUUUGGGAUUUCCCAAACUGCAUUGCAGCCAAUGAAAUACCUGUGAAAUAUGGUAACAAUUGUAAAUGUGAAUUAAUAAAUAAAAAGAUUCUUAUAAAGAGGUGGGAUCAUUUUGAGAUGAUAAAAGACAUC